rnacentral:rRNA from 1 species
AUUGAACGCUGGCGGCAUGCCUUACACAUGCAAGUCGAACGGCAGCACGGGAGCAAUCCUGGUGGCGAGUGGCGAACGGGUGAGUAAUAUAUCGGAACGUGCCCAGUCGUGGGGGAUAACGUAGCGAAAGCUACGCUAAUACCGCAUACGAUCUAUGGAUGAAAGCGGGGGGAUCGCAAGACCUCGCGCGAUUGGAGCGGCCGAUAUCAGAUUAGGUAGUUGGUGAGGUAAAGGCUCGCCAAGCCGACGAUCUGUAGCUGGUCUGAGAGGACGACCAGCCACACUGGGACUGAGACAGGCCCAGACUCCUACGGGAGGCAGCAGUGGGGAAUUUUUGGGACAAUGGGCGCAAGCCUGAUCCAGCAAUGCCGCGUGCAGGAUGAAGGCCUCGGUU